rnacentral:rRNA from 1 species
UACGUAGGGUGCGAGCGUUAAUCGGAAUUACUGGGCGUAAAGCGUGCGCAGGCGGUUCGUUGUGUCUGCUGUGAAAUCCCGGGCUCAACCUGGGAAUGGCAGUGGAAACUGGCGAGCUUGAGUGUGGCAGAGGGGGGUGGAAUUCCGCGUGUAGCAGUGAAAUGCGUAGAGAUGCGGAGGAACACCGAUGCGAAGGCAACCCCCUGGGCUGACACUGACGCUCGAGGCACGAAAAGCGUGGGG